GGGUCAGUGGGUUGGUCGUGCCACCGGUACGUACUGGUCUCACUGAUUCCUCCUUCCUGAAGAACCGUAAUGCCAUUAAUUUGGUGUUGCGGGGAAACAGGACUGUUACUUUGAAAAAAUUAGAGUGCUUAAAGCUAGCUAACGCUUGAAUACAUUAGCAUGGAAUAAUGAAAUAGGACGAUCGAUCCUAUUUUGUUGGUUUCUAGGAUUGACGUA
rnacentral:rRNA from 1 species